rnacentral:rRNA from 1 species
GUUGUAGUCUGGAGAAGGUCCCUCUGCGACGCGCCGGACCCAAGUUCCCUGGAAAGGGACGUCAUCGAGGGUGACAACCCCGUACGCGCCCGGAACGCGUCGCUCCACGAGGACCUGUCUGUGAGUCGGGCUGUUUGGGAAUGCAGCCCUAAGCGGGAGGUAAAUUCCUUCCAAGGCUAAAUAUGGGCAAGAGACCGAUAGCGAACAAGUACCGCGAGGGAAAGAUGAAAAGGACUUUGAAAAGAGAGUUAAAAAGUGCUUGAAAUUGCUGGGAGGGAAGCGAAUGGAAGCUGCGGGUGCGCCUCGGUUGGAUGUGGAACGGUGUCGACUGGUCCGCCGCUCAACGCGAGGCGCUGGUCAGCGUGGGCCGCGGCGCCGGGACAAAAUCAGGGAUCCGUUUCCUGCCUAUGCCGGUGUCGCGGCCGAGGAACGAAGCGCGCGCCUUCUGGCGUGGGUCCGCCCAACUGCGCGCUCGAGACGCUGGCGUAUUGAGCUCUUCAUCCGACCCGUCUUGAAACACGGACCAAGGAGUCUAACAUGUAUGCGAGCCGGUGGGCGGCAAACCCAUUGAGGCGCAAGUAAACUGACAGGUGGGACCCCGACCGCGAGGGAGGGAGCACCAUCGACCGACCGUGAUCUUCUGUGAAAGGUUUGAGUGUGAGCAUGCCUGUUGGGACCCGAAAGAUGGUGAACUAUGCCUGAGCAGGGCGAAGCCAGAGGAAACUCUGGUGGAGGCUCGUAGCGAUACUGACGUGCAAAUCGUUCGUCAGACUUGGGUAUAGGGGCGAAAGACUAAUCGAACCAUCUAGUA